rnacentral:rRNA from 1 species
UGGGGAAUAUUGCACAAUGGGCGGAAGCCUGAUGCAGCGACGCCGCGUGAGGGAUGACGGCCUUCGGGUUGUAAACCUCUUUCAGUAGGGACGAAGCGUAAGUGACGGUACCUGCAGAAGAAGCACCGGCUAACUACGUGCCAGCAGCCGCGGUAAUACGUAGGGUGCGAGCGUUGUCCGGAAUUACUGGGCGUAAAGAGCUCGUAGGCGGUUUGUCACGUCGUCUGUGAAAUCCUAGGGCUUAACCCUGGACGUGCAGGCGAUACGGGCUGACUUGAGUACUACAGGGGAGACUGGAAUUUCUGGUGUAGCGGUGGAAUGCACAGAUAUCAGGAAGAACACCGAUGGGGAAGGCAGGUCUCUGGGUAGUAACUGACGCUGAGGAGCGAAAGCAUGGGUAGCGAACAGG